UCCGUAGGUGAACCUGCGGAGGGAUCAUUAACGAAUGGCCUUUGGCCUUCGACCUUGUAAACCCGUGGAAGCAAGACUGCUUGGGCGCUUCCGGCGCCCCGUCUAUGCCGUAAAGCUUUAGUCUGAACAAAAAAUAAGUUUAAAACUUUCAACAAAGGAUCUCUUGGCUCUCGCAUCGAUGAAGAACGCAGCGAAGCGCGAAAUGUAGUGUGAAUCGCAGAAAUUUGUGAAUCAUCGAAUCUUUGAACGCACAUUGCGCCUCCUUUCCGGGAGGCAUGCCUGUCUGAGCGUCGUUUAAACCAUAGCCCUUUAUGGGGUCUGUCUUGGGCAUCGCCUUUGGGCGUAGCCUCGAAGCCAUCGGUCUGAAGAGCGGAUGAAAUCCAUUAGGACGGACCGUCUUUCGACCUUAAACUUUGUAUUUGACCUCAGAUCAGGUAGGACUACCGCCUGAACUUAAGCAUAUC
rnacentral:rRNA from 1 species